UUUCUUACAAAGGCAGAGCCACAUUUUAUUUAAGUCUUUGAAGAUAACUUACGAUGAUGUACUUUUCAGUUGUUUACAGGUCUGAGAGCUCCUGCACGUGGUUUAUUGCUGUUUGGCCCACCAGGAAAUGGGAAGACAAUGUUGGCCAAGGCAGUUGCUGCAGAAUCAAAUGCU